GCUGAGAGGAACGCAGUCUGGCUCGAGGAAUGCUCAGAUCUGUUUUGAUCUGAUCGAUAUGUUCAUAUCUAAUUAAUUCUCGGACCAGGCUUCAUUCCUCCCAUC
rnacentral:pre_miRNA from 14 species